UACGUAGGGUGCAAGCGUUAAUCGGAAUUACUGGGCGUAAAGCGUGCGCAGGCGGUUUUGUAAGUCUGACGUGAAAUCCCCGGGCUCAACCUGGGAAUUGCGUUGGAGACUGCAAGGCUGGAGUCUGGCAGAGGGGGGUAGAAUUCCACGUGUAGCAGUGAAAUGCGUAGAGAUGUGGAGGAACACCGAUGGCGAAGGCAAUCCCCUGGGCCUGCACUGACGCUCAUGCACGAAAGCGUGGGGAGCAAACAGG
rnacentral:rRNA from 1 species